GAAUUCGCCCUUAGAGUUUGAUCCUGGCUCAGGACGAACGCUGGCGGCGUGCCUAACACAUGCAAGUCGAACGCCCUUUCCGCGAGGGGAGGGAGUGGCGGACGGGUGAGGAACACGUGGGUAACCUGCCCUGCAGUGGGGGGUACCGGUGCGAAAGCGCCGACAAUCCCGCAUGCGCUCUGGGAGCGGGAGCGAGCAGAGGAAAGCUUGAGGCUGGAGGGCCUUGGGCGCUGCAGGAGGGGCCUGCGUCCGAUUAGCUGGUUGGUGGGGUAAGAGCCUACCAAGGCGACGAUCGGUAGCUGGUCUGAGAGGACGGCCAGCCACACUGGGAUUGAGAGACGGCCCAGACUCCUACGGGGGGCAGCAGUGAGGGAUCUUCGGCAAUGGGCGCAAGCCUGACCGAGCGACGCCGCGUGCAGGAAGAAGGCCUUCGGGUUGUAAACUGCUUUUCUGGGGGAAGAGUGAGGACGGUACCCCAGGAAGAAGCCCCGGCAAACUACGUGCCAGCAGCCGCGGUAAGACGUAGGGGGCGAGCGUUGUCCGGAGUUACUGGGCGUAAAGGGCCUGUAGGCGGUCGGGCAGGUUCCGGCUGACAGCCCGUGGCUUCACUGCGGGAGAGGCAGGAAGACGGUCCGACUUGAGGGCCACAGAGGGACAUGGAAUUCCCGGUGGAGCGGUGAAAUGCGUAGAGAUCGGGAAGAACACCGAAGGCGAAGGCAGUGUCCUGGGUGGUACCUGACGCUGAGAGGCGAAAGCUAGGGGAGCGAACGGGAUUAGAUACCCCGGUAGUCCUAGCCGUAAACGAUGACCACUAGGUGUGUGGGGAGAUCGACCCCCUGCGCGCCGAAGCGAACGCAGUAAGUGGUCCGCCUGGGGAGUACGGCCGCAAGGCUCAAACUCAAAGGAAUUGACGGAAGGGCGAAUUC
rnacentral:rRNA from 1 species